rnacentral:rRNA from 1 species
UACAGAGGUCCCAAGCGUUGUUCGGAUUCACUGGGCGUAAAGGGUGCGUAGGCGGUCAGAUAAGUCUGAUGUGAAAUCUUCGAGCUCAACUCGGAAACUGCAUCGGAAACUAUCUGGCUAGAGGAUUGGAGGGGAGACUGGAAUUCUCGGUGUAGCAGUGAAAUGCGUAGAUAUCGAGAGGAACACCAGUGGCGAAGGCGAGUCUCUGGACAAUUCCUGACGCUGAGGCACGAAAGCUAGGGGAGCGAACAGG